GAUUCUGGCUCAGGAUGAACGCUAGCUACAGGCUAACACAUGCAAGUCGAGGGGCAGCAUAAAGUCAGCUUGCUGAUUUGAUGGCGACCGGCGCACGGGUGAGUAACGCGUAUCCAACCUUCCCUAUAGUAGGGGAUAGCCCGGCGAAAGUCGGAUUAAUACCCUAUGUUCUUCAUAGAUGACAUCUGAAAUGAAGCAAAGGUUUACCGCUAUAGGAUGGGGAUGCGUCUGAUUAGCUUGUUGGCGGGUAACGGCCCACCAAGGCAACGAUCAGUAGGGGUUCUGAGAGGAAGGUCCCCCACAUUGGUACUGAGACACGGACCAAACUCCUACGGGAGGCAGCAGUGAGGAAUAUUGGUCAAUGGGCGAGAGCCUGAACCAGCCAAGUAGCGUGCCAGGAUGACUGCCCUAUGGGUUGUAAACUGCUUUUAUAGGGGAAUAAAGUGAGGAACGUGUUCCUUUUUGUAUGUACCCUAUGAAUAAGGACCGGCUAAUUCCGUGCCAGCAGCAGC
rnacentral:rRNA from 1 species